ensembl:misc_RNA 7SK 7SK RNA
GGCUGUGAGGGUGAUCUGACUGUGACAUCUGCCACCCCAUUGAUCGCCAGGGUUGAUUUGGCUGAUCCGACUGGUUAGUCGAGUGUCCCCUUCCUCCCUCACCCCUCCAUGUGUGUCUCUCCUGAAGCUGAGUGCUCAAUUGAAGAGGACUCCCAUCCCCGCUAGAGAAGGACCAUUCGCUUUCCCUGCCAGGAUCUCCAGAAAGCAGCUCGAGGUUCAGACAUGCUGUGGAAAGGCUGGGGAAUGAACACAGCACCUCUGAAAAUGU